rnacentral:rRNA from 1 species
UGCAAGUUGGAUUACCCCUGAGCCAAACAGCUAGCUUAACUACUAAUAUAAACCAACAAUAUUCAUAACAGAGAAUGACCUAACACUAUAAACUAAACCAUUUUUUUACCUGAGUACGGGAGACGGAAAAGGUUCAACCUAGAGCGAUAGAAAAAGUACCGCAAGGAAGGCUGAAAGAGAAAUGAAACAACCCAUAUAAGCAUUAAAAAACAAAGAUUAAACCUUGUACCUUUUGCAUCAUGAUUUAGCCAGCACCCUCAAGCAAAGAGACCUUUAGUUUGAAACCCCGAAACCAGGUGAGCUACCCCGAGACAGCCUAUGUUAUUUAGGGCUAACCCGUCUCUGUGGCAAAAGAGUGGGGAGAGCUCCGGGUAGAAGUGACAGACUUACCGAACCUGGUGAUAGCUGGUUGCCUGAGAAGUGGAUAGAAGUUCAGCCUCAUACACCCCGCAUCAAAACAUACAUUAUCAAGAUACCCAAGGGAAAUAUAUGAGAGUUAGUUGAAAGGGGUACAGCCCUUUUAACAAAGGAUACAACCUUUACAGGAGGAUAAAGAUCAUAAUAUGUAAAACAUACUGUUUUAGUGGGCCUAAAAGCAGCCACCUAAGUAGAAAGCGUUAAAGCUCAGACAGAAGGAAGUUUAUUAUACUGAUAAACAAUCUUAUUCCCCUAAUUUUAUCAGACCAACCCAUGCCCGCAUGGAAGAGAUUAUGCUAGAAUGAGUAACAAGAAGACCUGCGCUUCUCCUUGCACAAGUGUAAACCAGAUCGGACAAACCACUGGAACUUAACGAACCCAACCCAAGAGGGCAAUGUGGAUAACAUAAACCUCAAGAAGAGUUCACAAUUAGACGGCAAACACAAGCCUCGCCUGUUUACCAAAAACAUCGCCUCCUGCAACUAAAUUUGAGUAUAGGAGGUCCAGCCUGCCCAGUGACUACGGGUUCAACGGCCGCGGUAUUUUGACCGUGCAAAGGUAGCGCAAUCACUUGUCUCUUAAAUAGAGACCUGUAUGAAUGGCUAGACGAGGGCUUAACUGUCUCCCCUAUCAAGUCAGUGAAAUUGAUCUAUCCGUGCAGAAGCGGGUAUAACUAUACAAGACGAGAAGACCCUUUGGAGCUUAAGGUACAAAUUUAACCACGUUAAACAACUCCGUAAAAAGUAAGAACUUAGUGGCAAAUAAAAUUUUACCUUCGGUUGGGGCGACCGCGGAGGAAAGACAAGCCUCCGAGUGGGCUGGGCAAAUCCCUAAAGCCAAUAGAGACAUCUAUAAGCCGCAGAAUAUCUGACCAAAAAUGAUCCGAUCACAGCGAUCGAUCAACGAACCAAGUUACCCUAGGGAUAACAGCGCAAUCCCCUCCCAGAGUCCAUAUCGACGAGGGGGUUUACGACCUCGAUGUUGGAUCAGGACAUCCUAAUGGUGCAGCCGCUAUUAAGGGUUCGUUUGUUCAACGAUUAAAGUCCUACGUGAUCUGAGUUCAGACCGGAGUAAUCCAGGUCAGUUUCUAUCUGUAACGCUACUUUUCCUAGUACGAAAGGAUUGGAAAAGAGGGGCCCAUGCUUAAGGCACGCCCCGCCCCAAAUUAAUGAAAACAAAUAAAUUAAGUAAAGGGAGGGCCAAAACCCCUGCCGUUCAAGAUAAGGACA